UUACACUCAGAAAGAGAGUGAACAACUAGAAGAUGUGGAAGAAAAUUCCAAGGGCCAAUUUUGAAACAAACCAGGCAGAGAGACCCAGAUGCAGAAUCCUGCAGGCUGAGGGAUGUCAGGAAGAGUUAGCCCACCACUGCUGCGCUGAAACCAGGAUGAUGCAAACUGGGCCUCAGGCCAGGCUUAGAAUAUAAACUGACACCUUGAAGAAGUGACCAUCUUGUAAUCAACACUUUAUUCUAAGGAUAACAGAGAUAAAUCAUAUAAGGAUCUCUGUUUCUUAAUGGCAUUGUUGAGCCCUAAACAUUCUACUGCUAGAUAUUUUAUUGCAUGAAAUAAAUAAACCUUAGUUGCUUAAAA
rnacentral:lncRNA from 1 species